ensembl:rRNA 5S_rRNA 5S ribosomal RNA
UUUUGUCCAAUCUCUGCUCAUCUCGGAUGCUAAGCAGAGUUGGACCUGGUUAGUACAUGAAUGGGAGACCACAAGGAAUAACAGGUGCUACAGAGC